UGGGGAAUAUUGGACAAUGGGCGCAAGCCUGAUCCAGCCAUGCCGCGUGUGUGAAGAAGGCCUUAGGGUUGUAAAGCACUUUCAGUGGGGAGGAAGGGUGUUGUGUUAAUAGCACAGCAUUUUGACGUUACCCACAGAAGAAGCACCGGCUAACUCCGUGCCAGCAGCCGCGGUAAUACGGAGGGUGCAAGCGUUAAUCGGAAUUACUGGGCGUAAAGCGCACGCAGGCGGCUUUUAAGUCGGAUGUGAAAGCCCCGGGCUCAACCUGGGAAUUGCAUCUGAUACUGGGAAGCUAGAGUAUGUGAGAGGGGGGUAGAAUUCCAAGUGUAGCGGUGAAAUGCGUAGAGAUUUGGAGGAAUACCAGUGGCGAAGGCGGCCCCCUGGCACAAUACUGACGCUCAGGUGCGAAAGCGUGGGGAGCAAAACAGGAUUAGAUACCCUGGUAGUCCACGCCGUAAACGAUGUCUACUAGAUGUUCGUGGUCUUGUACCGUGAGUAUCGCAGCUAACGCAUUAAGUAGACCGCCUGGGGAGUACGGUCGCAAGAUUAAAACUCAAAUGAAUUGACGGGGUCAUAGCUGUUUCCU
rnacentral:rRNA from 1 species